rnacentral:misc_RNA from 1 species
UCCGGUUUAACACCGGCAGUCUCGCUAGAGUCCCCGACAUGACUCGCUGGCAACUAGCGACAAGGGUUUCGCUCGUUAAAGGACUUAACCCGACAUCUCACGACACGAGCUGACGACAGCCAUGCAGCACCUGUGCACGUUCCACCCGAAGGCGUGGCCCGGCUUUCACCGGGUUAAUCCGUGCAUGUCAAGACUAGGAUAAGGUUUUUCGCGUAGCCUCGAAUUAAGCCACAUCCUCCACCGCUUGUGAGAGCCCCCGUCAAUUCCUUUGAGUUUCAGCCUUGCGGCCGUACUCCCCAGGCGGGGCACUUAAUGCGUUAGCUCCGACACCGAAUGCGUCUAUACACCCGGCAUCUAGUGCCCAUCGUUUACGGCGUGGACUAC